UUGUAAACUAAAAAUAAGAGGUCCCGCCUGCCCUGUGACUAUGUUUAACGGCCGCGGUAUUUUGACCGUGCAAAGGUAGCACAAUCACUUGUCUUUUAAAUGGAGACCUGUAUGAAUGGCAUAACGAGGGCUUAACUGUCUCCUCCCCCCAGUCAAUGAAAUUGAUCUCUCCGUGCAGAAGCGGGGAUAUAAACGUAAGACGAGAAGACCCUAUGGAGCUUUAGAUGUAUAACUGACUUACCUAAAAACCCCAGAUUACAGGGACAAGACAGGUAAGACUCCGCUAAAUAUCUUUGGUUGGGGCGACCACGGGGCAAAAAUAAACCCCCGCGAGGAAUAGUAUUAACCCUAUGAUCUAAGAACAUCAGUUCUAAGCACCAAAACAUUUGACCUUUAGAUCCGGCACAGCCGAUCAACGAACCGAGUUACCCUAGGGAUAACAGCGCAAUCCUCUUCAAGAGCCCAUAUCGACAAGAGGGUUUACGACCUCGAUGUUGGAUCAGGACAUCCUAAUGGUGCAGCAGCUAUUAAGGGUUCGUUUGUUCAACGAUUAAAGUCCU
rnacentral:rRNA from 1 species